CCCGCCUCCGCCGGUCGUCGCCACUGCGCAGGCGCGGCGGUGGGAGGGGGGCGGGCGCCAUGGCAACGCGGCGCGGGAGGUAAACAAAGGGGAGGCCGCGCUCGGCGGCGGCGGCGGCAGCAGCAGCAGCAGCGAGGGGCGUCGCGGCGGGGACCCGGACCCGGACCCGGACCCGGACCCGGACCCGGACCCGGACCCGGACCCGGACCCGGACCCGGACCCGGACCCGGACCCGCCGAGCCUUCGGGUCCCGCCGCGCCUUCGGGUCCCGCCGCAGGCAGAGCAGGAGCUGUGGGUCCAUCCUCAGGGCUUGAUGUGGAACCCCCCAGCGCAGUAAAAGGACUUACCAUGGUGAAUGAAAACUCCAUACAAAUAUGGAUGUCCCAGCAGUUCUGAUGGAUGUCCAGAUGCCCUGGUGACGGUUGCAGCUUAAAACUUGAAGAGAUCUUGUUAGGAGCUCUGCUCUUCAGCUCUACA
rnacentral:lncRNA from 1 species